ACUCAAAUGAAUUGACGGGGACCCGCACAACCGGUGGAGCGUGUGGUUCAAUUCGAGACAAAGCGAAAAACCUUACCAGGGUUUGACAUAUUACCGUUUUAUACCUUUGGAAACAUUGGUAGAUCCGUAAGGAUGGUAGUACAGGUGAUGCAUGGUUGUCCUCAGUUCGUGCCGUGAGGUGUUCCCUUAAGUGGGGAAACGAACGCAACCCCUUUGUAAUGUUACAUAUUCAUUGCAUACUGCCCCGAUUAUAUCGGGGAGGAAGGCGGGGCAGAUGUCAAAUCAGCACGUCCCUUAUACCCUGGGAUACACACACCCUACAAUGGCGAAUAACAACGUGUUGCAAGCCGGCAACGGCAAGCUAAUCACUGAAAUUUCGCCUCAGUUCAGAUUGGGGUCUGCAACCCGACCCCAUGAAGUCGGAAUCGGUAGUAAUCGCGGAUCAGCAGGCCGCGGUGAAUACGUUCUCGGGUCUUGUACACACCGCCCGU
rnacentral:rRNA from 1 species